rnacentral:lncRNA from 1 species
GGUAACAUGUUUCGGCGUCCUUCCACACUGUCGCGGCUUAUGUUGUUUUGCUGUUUGGGUUUGCACUGUCUUUUUGAGCUGUAACACAGCAAAGGUUUGCAGUUUCGCUCCUGAAAUCAUCGAGACCACAAACCCACCGGGAAGAACGAACAACUCCAGACGCACCGCUUUAAGAGCUGUAAUACUCGUUAGGAAGGUGUGCAGCUUGACUCCUGAGUCAGCGAGACCAUGAACCCAUCAGAAGGAAAAAACUCCGAACAUCAGAAGGAACAAGUUUCAGACACGCCACCUUUAAGAACUGUGAUACUCACCGCGAGGGCCCGCGGCUUCAUUCUUGAAGUCCGUGAGACCAAGAACCUACCAAUUCCGAAUACGUUGGGUUCAAGUGGUUCUCCUGCCUCAGACUCCCGAAUACCUGGGACUACAGGCACCCACCACGCCCGGGUAAUUUUUUGUAUCUUUAGUCGAGGUGAGGUUUCACCAUGUUGGCUAGGCUCGUCUCAAAAUACUGACCUCGUAAUCCGCGCCGCCUCAGCCUCACAAAGUGCUGCGAUUACCUGCGCCCUACCGCUCCCACCCCAAUCGUGUUGAAAUUGUGUAGUAUAGAAUUCUAUAAAUUUGAAAAAGCUUUUAGAGGUUAGUUGGAGCAGUGCUUCUCAUGUUGCACAUCACCUUGAGAACUUGUGAAAUUGCAGGUCGUGAGUCAGCAUGGUGUUGUAGGGUGAGGGGAGUGACUGUGCUGUGUUUUUCGAGACGGGGGCGGGUCUCACUUUGUUGCCCAGGUGGGAGUGCAGUGGUGCAAACAAGGCUCAUUGCAGCCUUGAUCUCCGGGGCUCAAGCUGGCUGUUGACCUCAGCCUUCUGAGUAGCUGGGACUUCAGGCGUACAUCACCACACCCAGCUAGUUUUAGUAUUUUUUCGUAAAGAUAGGAUUUUGCCAUGUUGGCCAGGCUAGUCUUGAACUUCUGAGCUCAAGCAAUCCACCAACCUUGGCCUUUGAAAGUGCUGGGAUUACAGAUGUGAACUACAAUGCCUGGCUGCUUAUGUAUUUUUAUUUUUUAUUUCUUAAAAUAUUUAUUUGAGAUGGAGUCUUGCUCUGUUGCUCAGACUGGAGUGCACGGUGGCACGAUCUUGGCUCACUGCAACCUCUGCCUCCCAGGUUCAAGAGAUUCUGCUGCCUCAGCCUCCCGAGCAGCUGGGAUUCUAGGUGCCUGCCAACAUGCCUGGCUCACUUUUGUAUUUUUAGUGGAGAUGGGUUUCACCAUCUUGGCCAGGCUGGUGUCGAACUCCUGACCUUAGGCAAUCCACCCACCUUGGCCUCUGAAAGUGCUGGGAUUACAGGCGUGAGCCACCACAUCCGGC